rnacentral:lncRNA from 1 species
UUUGAAGAUGACAAGAACCUACAGGAUCGUGAAUGUCAAUAUCACCAACCACUCCCUGGGGUAAUUUCUUUUGGGGCGCAUCCUCAAAAGGAGUAACAAUGUACAGUCUUGUAACAAUAACACCAUCACAGGCUGAGACUCAAACCUAUUCCAGAAAUGUUGCAUUCUUUUCUUUAGUAGUUUUGACAUCCUUCCUGGGACAUUCUGUGUUAGAUGCUGCUAGGCAAAGGCAAGCACAUAGUGGUGUUUCUAUACUCUCCAUCUGCUAUUCUCAUAGAAGUGCGCAUUGGAGACAUCUCAGUCAGUUCAUGCAUUAUGAAGAGGAAGUGGAAAGGAAACAAUUAGAGGUCCAUGUGUUCUGAGAAGAUGGCCCAUUGACAUGCAGAAGGAGAGGCUUUUCCCUCCCACAAUUUCAUCUGUUUUAUAUACCCAAACAUCGCAAAGCAGGAAAUCCAUUGAAGUCUGAAGUUGUUGAGCAAUUUAAGCAGACUACCCCAGCAUUAACACUGCUGGAUACCAGACCAUUUCAGACCAGCCUCAGGAAGCCAGCAGUGGUCAGAGGGCAACCAUCAAGAAAGGCAGGCAAAGCUGUAACCCCGUGAGGAUGCUUUUUCCAAGGACAUCAACAACAUCUCUCCAUCUCCAUCUGCACAAUACCCUGUUCUCCCUGAGUCUUGUGUUGCACGUUCACCUCAGCCCAAGGCUCAUCAGGAAAACUCACUAUGAAUGGGGAUGAUGGCACAUAAGGUUAGUGUCUGUAGAUGUCUCAGUUGUGAUUUUCUUGAUGUAAAGAGACACCAUGCUCAUGGCAACACUUACAAAGGAAAACAUUUAACUCAGGCUGGCUUACACGUCAGAAGUUUAGUCCAUUAUCAUCAUGGUGAGAAUCAUGGCAGAAUUCAGACAGACAUGGUGCUGGAGAGGUAGCAGAGGCAUCUACAUAAAGAUCUGCAUGCAAUAGGAAGAGACAGUAAGGGAGACACCAUGCCUGGAUUGAGGUUCUGAGACCUCAAAGCACACUAACCAUUGAUGCACUUUUUCUAAUAAGGCCACACCUUCUCCAACAAUGCUAUACCUCAAAGAAUACCACUACCUAUGUGUCUAUGGGGUUAUCUUCAUUCAGACCACCACAGUCGUUAUACAGAACAUUGAUUAGACCAACUCAUGAUUCUUUGCUUUCAAAGGUGAGGUAGUCACUAGAAAAGGAGUCUAAACCACGCUUGGUAGGUGUUGCCUUUCAUACCGGAAUGCAAGAACUGGAGGCAGAAAAAUCUCUGUGAAUUUACUCCCACUAUGGUCACUUAUGAAGUUCUAGGACUGCAGCAUUUAUGUAGAGUAACUCAAAACAACAACACAAACAAAACAUAAUGGAGACUGAAGGCAGGAUGCCUGGGUUCUCCUAUUGCAUUCCACUAACUUUCAUACCCAUUAGGCAUCUUCCAACUUAAUAUUCCCCAGAGAUUGGUAUUCACAUUUUGUCAUACAUACACUUUAAUGGCAUCAAACUGCAGUGUGUCUCUGUAGGGUUGACUACAAUAGACACAUGAAAGUGGUGGGAUUUGCUCCAUGUUCCUGGACAAGUAUUAUGUAAUGUCACACCUUAGGGGCAUUCUUCAUGUUCUUGAUCCUUUCUAGAGAGGGACCUGCAGAGUGUCUGUCCUUCAGUCUUUAGUUCCACCUGAGUCAGUGAGUUUCAGCAAUGGCAACCUACUUCUUUGAUUCACUUUAUUUCUUGAUUUUGGGGAUGAGCCCUGAAUGGAUAUUGCGAUACUCAAGAACAAUGGUGGGAUUCUUCUUGGAUCUAUUGUUCAUGCUUUUUAUUUCAAGUCUCAGGGUACAUCUGUGAGAGAUUUUACCUGGAAUGGAGCCUUGUAAAGUUAUGAUAUAUGGAAAAAUAAAAAUCCCAGGAUAGCCA